AUUCUUUUGUACACUAUUGCAAAUGGGAUUCGUUUCUUAAGUUCAUUUUCAGAUUGUUCAUUACUAGUGCAUAGUUUAAAUACAAUUAAUUUUUGUAUAUUGAUUUUUUAUCCUGCAAUCACACACCCUCAUUUAUUAACUCUAAUGAUCUUGUGUGUGUGUUGAUUCUGUGGACACGAUCAUGUCAUCUGCAAGUUCAGAUGGUUUCUACCUUUUCCAAUCUAAAUGUCUUUUGCUUCUUUGUCUUGCUGAAAGCUCUGGCUAGAUUGUGCAGUACAAUGUUGACUAGAAAUGGGGAGAGUAGACAUUCUUGUCUUGUUUCUGAUCUUAAGGGGGAAAAGCUUUCAGUAUUUACCCAUUAGGUAUGAUGUUAACUAUGUUUUGCCGAGAUGCCCUUUUCCAGGUUGAGGAAUUUCAUUCUCUUCCUAGUUUGUAGUGUUUUUACCAUGAAAAAAGUGUUGGAUUUUGUUGAAUGCUGUUUCUUCAUCUACUGAGAUGAUCACAUGGUUUUCUCUUUUUUUUCUGUUUACGUAUGUUGUAUGUUGAAUCAUCCUUGCUAUUUUGGGAUAGAUCCCACAUGGUGUAUAAUUCUUAUGUUUUUGGAUUUGGUUUCCUAGUGUUUUGUUGAGCAUUCCAUUUUUUCCCUUUUAACCUUUCUAUGUAGCUCUUUUGGGUCUGUCUUUCAGUAAACAGUGUUAACAUUGAAUUUUUAUAAUAGGACUUGAUACCCUAUCUUUGAAGGUUUAAAGUCACUUAUAUUGCUUGUAUUAAUUAUAUAUUUGACCUUACUUCAGACCUCUAUUUUGUCUUCAUUUGUACCAGUUCUGCCGUGCUUUAUUUCUAUUUUCUUCCUUUUAUCCUGGGUUAGAAUUUAUACAUGCUAUUCUUUUUUUUUUUUUUAAGAUUUUAUUUAUUAGAGAGCACAAGCAGGAGGAGUGGGAGAGGGAGAAGCAGAUUCCCCACUGAGCAGGGAGCCUGAUGCAGGGCUCAAUUCCAGGACCCUGGGAUCAUGACCUGCGCCAAAGGCAGACGCUUAACCGACUGAGCCACCCAGAUUUCUAUUUAUUUAUUCAUGAGAGAGAGAGAGAGGCAGAGGGAGAAGCAGGCUCCCAAGGAGCAGGGAACCCGAUGUGGGACUCGAUCCCAGCACCCCGGGAUCAUGACCUGAGCCGAAGGCAGACGCUUAACCAUCUGAACCACCCAGGCGCCCUAACUUGCUCUUAUUGAUAUGAAAUAUGUAAUCAAUUUUGUGAAAUUUUUUUGAGGUGAAAUUCACAUAACAUAAAAUUAACUAUUUUAAUUAUGUGAUUCUGUGGUAUUUAAUACAUUCACAGUGUUAUGCAGUCUCUUCUAUCUAGUUCCAAAAUAUUUCAUCUCCUUCAAAGGAGAUCCUGUACCCAUUAGCAGUCACUCCCCAUUUCCCCAUUCUGUGAGUCCCUGGCAACCACUAAUGCAUUUUAUGUCUUUUGAUUGACCCAUUCUUGUUAUUUCAUAUAACAGAAUCACACAUGUAUGACCCUUUUUUUUUUUUAAGAUGUAUUUAUUAGAGAGGGAGAGUGUGUGCACAUGCAAAAUGGGGGAAGGGCAGAGGAAGAGAGAGAAUCCCAAGCAGACUCCCACGGGGCCUAGUCUCAUGACCCUGAGAUCAUGACCUGAGCCGAGACCAAGAGUCAGAUGCUUAACUGACUGAACCACCCAGGUGCCCCCAUAUAUGACCUUUUAUGUCUGGAUUCUUUGACGUAGCAUAAUGUUUUGGAGGUUCUUCCAUGUUGUUGAAUGUAUCAGUACUUCAUUUUGUUUUUAUAGCUGAAUAAUAUUGUGUGUAUAUAUGCCACAUAAUGUUCAUUUAUCCAGUGAUGGACAUUUUGAUUGUUUCCACCUUUUGGCUACUGUGAAAAGUGCUGCUAUGAAUAUUUGUGUACAGGUAUUUGAAUCCCUGUUUUCAGUUCUCUUGAGUAUAUACCUAGGCAUGGAAUUGGUUUGUGGGUCAUAUGGCAAUUCUAUGUUUAACUUUUUCAGGAACCACCAGAUUUUUUUUUGAGUGUAGUUGACUCACAUUAGUACAUUAGUUUCAGGUGUACAGCAUAGUGAUUGGAGAAGUUUAUACAUAAUGCUACACUCACCACAGGCAUAGUUACCAUCUAUCACCAUACAUCGUUAUUACAGUGUCAUUGACUCUAUUCCUUAUGCUGUUUUUUAUUCCUUUGACUUAUUCAUUCCAUAACUGGAAACCUGUAUGUCCCACUCCCCUUCACCCAUUAUGCGCAUCCCUCCACCCGCUCCUCUCUGGCAACCAUCAGUGUGGUCUCCAUAUUUACAAGUCUGAGUCUGCUUUUUAUUUAUUCAUUCAUGUUUCUUUGUUUUGUUUUGUUUUUAGAUUCCAUGUGAAUGUAAUCAUAGGGUGUUUGUCUUUCUAAAUCUGACUUUUUUCACUUACCAUAAUACCCUUUAGGUCCAUCCAUGUUGUCAUAAAUGGCAAGAUCUCAUCCUUUUUUAUGACUGCAUAAUGUAUCAUUGUAUAUAUACACCACAUCUUCCUUACCCAUUUAUCAAUGACCACUUGGAUUACUUCCGUAUCUUGGCUAUUAUAAUGUUGCAGUAAAUAUUGGGGUGCAUAUAUCUUUUUGAAUUCGUGUUUUCAUUUUCUUUGAAUAAAUUUCACAUAGUGAAAUUACUGGAUCAUAUUGUAUUUCUAUUUUUAAUUUUUUGAGGACCCUCUGUAAAUUGCACCAAUUUACUUUCCAGAGCGCCUGAGUGGCUCAGUUGGUUAAACGUCUGCCUUUGGGGUCCUGGGAUGAAGCCCCCCGUCAGGUCCCUGCUUCUUCUCCCACUCCCCCUGCUUGUGCUCUCUGUCAAAUAAAUAAAAUCUUCAGUAAUAAAAAAAAAAAAAUCUGGUUUUAUUCUUUUACAUGUAGCUGGCCAGGUUUCCCAAGACCAUUUAUUGAAUAGACUGUCUUUUCCCCAUUGUAUAUUCUUACCUCCUUUGUCCUAGAUUAAUUGACCAUAUAAGUGUUGGUUUAUUUCUGGGCUCUAUGUUCUGUUCCAUUGAUCUGUAUGUCUGUUUUUGUGCCAGUAUCAUACUGUUUUGAUUACUGUAGCUUUGUAGCAUAUCAUGAAAUCAGGGAUUGUGAUAUCUACCUUCCCCCCACUCAAGCUUGCUUUGGCUAGUUGGGGUCUUUUGUAGUUCCAUAUAAAUUUUAGUAUUAUUCUAGUUUUGUGAAAAAUGUUUUUGGAAGAAUCACCAAACAUUUUACAGUGGCUGCAACAUUUUACAUUUCCACCAGCAAUGUAAAAGGGUUCUAAUUCCUUUAUAUCUUUGCCGGUCCUUUUUUUUUUUUUUUUUUUUAAAUAGCCAUUGUAGUAGUUGUGAAGUGGUGUCCCAUUGUAGUUUUGAUUUGCAUUUCCCUGGUUACUAAUGAUGAACAUCUUUUUUUAUGUAUUCACUAAAAUUUGUAUGUCUUGUUUGGACAAAUUCUAUGUCAGUUCUUUACUCAUUUUUUUUUUUUUUAAAGAUUUUAUUUAUUUAUUUGAGACAGAGAGAAUGAGAGACAGAGAACAUGAGAGGGAGGAGGGUCAGAGGGAGAAGCAGACUCCCUGCCGAGCAGGGAGCCCGAUGCGGGACUCGAUCCCGGGACUCCAGGAUCAUGACCUGAGCCGAAGGCAGUUGCUUAACCAACUGAGCCACCCACGCGCCCUCUUUACUCAUUUUUAAGUUGUAUUUUUAAGGUUGAGUUUUAAGAAUUCUUUGUAUAUUCUGGAUACUUAACUCUUCUCAGAUAUAUGAUUUGUAAAUAUUUUCCUCCAUUAUAUGGAUUAUCCAUUGUGUUGAUAGUGUCCUUUUUACAAAAAAUUUUAAUUUUGAUGAAGUCUAACUUUCCUUUUGUUUUUCUUUUUUGGUCAUUGUUGCUUUUACUUUUGCUAUCAUAGCUAAGAGUAUUGCCAAGUCCAAGGUCAUGAUGAUUCACCUGUAUGUUUUCUUCUUAAGAGUUCUAUUGUUUUAGCUCUGAAAUUUAGGUCUUUAGCCCAUUUUGUCAAUUUUUGUAUAUGAAGUCAGGGGUUCAAUUUCUCUUAUAUGUGAAUAUCUAGUACCAGUACCAUUUGUUGAAGAGACUGUUGCUUUCACUGUUGAUUGGUGUUGGCACUGCUGUCAAGUUUGUUGACCAUGGAUGAAUGGAUUUAUUUCUGGAAUUUUUAUUCCUUUGGUUUUGUUGAGCCUUAUGCCAGUACCACCUUGUUUUGAUUACAGCAGUGUAAAUUUUCUUAAAUGAAAAAUUUCGAA